rnacentral:tRNA from 1 species
GGGAGGGGAUUCGGUGCUGGUGUCCGGCCCGGACUUCAAAUCCGGUGGGGCGGCUUAAUACCCCGCCUGGUGGGUUCGAUUCCCGCCCCCUCCC